rnacentral:rRNA from 1 species
GCAAAGGUAGCAUAGUCAUUAGUUCUUUAAUUGUGAUCUGGUAUGAAUGGCUUGACGAGGCAUGGGCUGUCUUAAUUUUGAAUUGUUUAUUGAAUUUGGUCUUUGAGUUAAAAUUCUUAGAUGUUUUUAUGGGACGAGAAGACCCUAUAGAGUUUAACAUUUGCUAUGGUCUUCUUUUUGUUUGUGAGGGUUCACUGGGCCAUUUAAUAUGUUUUGUUGGGGUGAUGGGAGGGAUUAAUUUAACCCCUCCUUUUUAUUAUUAUAUUUAUUUAUAUUUACUUGAUCCAUUUAUUUUGAUUGUAAGAUUAAAUUACCUUAGGGAUAACAGCGUUAUCUUCCUUGAGAGUUCUUAUCGGCAGGGGGGUUUGCG